GUAUGAAACAAAUACAGGGAAACAAAUGCUUUUUACAUAUCUACGAAAACCUGUAUUAGAAUUUUUACCUUUGCAGGAUUAAGUACAAAUUAUUUACCGAGAACCUCUGAAUUAUAUUUUUGUUUAGAUUUAUUAUUCUCCGAAAACAUUGAACUGAAUAUCUCUGUCAAAUGCUUAAUAUUUUGUGGAAACCCUAUUUUAUAUAAUCUCAAAUAUUACUGGAUUUACUCCACUGAUCUCAUAAAGACGACGGCAGUUCGAAUCAGCGAAACAUAAACCUCAUUCUGAAUAGAACAUUAACAGUCGAAGACAGAUAUGAAAACAGAAAGAAUUCGAUUUAACCUGUGCUUCAUCCUCUCUACUGUUUUGUUGUGUUGUGCUGCGAUGACAACACCGGAAAAUGAAACCGUAGUUAAGAACAAUUCAAUAACCGGUCAAAUACUUGCAUCGUGUGCAAUAAUAAUUCUUUGCUUACCGUUUAUUGGCAUGAUCUGUUACCUAAUAAAUAUAAGGUGCCGAUUUGUGAUAUUCGAUGUAUGUUUUCCUAUUAAAAAAGAUAUUGUUUGCUUAAGAAUGGAUAAAAUUUCACCUGAUCCUAGUUUAUAUCAUAUUGAACCUCGACCACGUAGUAACACAAAUAAUUCCCAAAAAUUGUAUUACGAACUGUUGAAUGCAGAUUCACAAUACUGUAAUUCACCUGCAAGUACUGAUCAGUCGACAAUUUCAGAUUUUUCAAAUGUUGUUUUAAGUGAAAAUUCUCAAGAAUUAGACCAAGCUCUUUUGCACUAGACGUAUAUAAACAGCACCUAAAGCACAUUUUCUCUACGUUAGAAGGCUUCUAAUAUUAUAGUUUCGAGUAAUACUUAUUUCAAAAAUGUCCGUGAACGUAUACUGAUCACGAAAUAAGAACCCGCCUUUGUUUCAAAGUUACAUUUUUUUCCACUGUUGUUAUUCAGUCUUAAUUAUGCAUCAUGUGUUCGAGAAAACAAAUGACACCUUGAUGAUAUAGCUAUUAGGGAUGUUGUAAAUUAUCACAUGCAAUAAAGACAGCCACCAAAAUUCUUUCCAGUAUAUGAUGACAUGAUCAUAUGCAGGAAAAAAACAGCAUCAUCUGUAUCAAAGAUAUAUAUAUAUAUAUAUAUAUAUAUAUAUAUAUAUAUAUAUAAAGCAGUGCAGACUAACAAACACAUAGCUUGUGUUCAAAAUUCAGUUGAUUUUACAGACUUAAUGUAUAGUUUGUCAUCUACUGAGAGAAUUUCCAAUACUAUUUUCAAUAAGGCGAAAGCCACAUGUAUUCGUAGAUCAAACUACAGCACAGGAAACAUUAAGACGUUUGAGUUGGCACAUUUCUCCUAAGAACUUGUGCGUAUACACAUAAGUAUUUUUCUCAUAUCCAUUUCUGUAUGAUUUAUAUAAAAGUCAUGUUGUCAAGUAGCAUUAAUUUCUGCAUUUGUGUUUUUGGUUGGAAAUAGUAGUGAAAAAGAAAAUGUGCCUUGUUACACAUAUUGUUAAAUUAUCACACGUCAUAAAAAAAAUUAUCUAAACGAUAUGGUCUUCAACCUAAUAAUCCUGUUUUCAAAACUUCGGAAUUUGUUAAAGUUCACUUAGAUUGUAUUUAUUCAAAAUACAUAGUGUAAAACCAGGAAAACUUGUCAUAAAGCGAGCUUUUGUUAACGAAAUUCUGAGUUUAUUUAAAACGCUGAGGUAUUGACAAACUGGGGUUUGAAUAAUAUAAAUUACUUUUGAUUCCUAAGUGCAUGGUGGAAAUAUUAUAUGCUUGUUUUUCUUUACCACCAGCUGUCAAAUAUGGUUGAUUAUGUUCGUGUAUGUUACAAACAUUGACUGUGUACUUAUCAACAUAAACUCUAACGCUAAGAUGCUUCAAAUCAAAAUUAAAAUACAGAAUUGUU